GCAGUCGACGGUAACAGGAACAGCUUGCUGUUUCGCUGACGAGUGGCGGACGGGUGAGUAAUGUCUGGGAAACUGCCUGAUGGAGGGGGAUAACUACUGGAAACGGUAGCUAAUACCGCAUAAUGUCGCAAGACCAAAGAGGGGGACCUUCGGGCCUCUUGCCAUCGGAUGUGCCCAGAUGGGAUUAGCUAGUAGGUGGGGUAACGGCUCACCUAGGCGACGAUCCCUAGCUGGUCUGAGAGGAUGACCAGCCACACUGGAACUGAGACACGGUCCAGACUCCUACGGGAGGCAGCAGUGGGGAAUAUUGCACAAUGGGCGCAAGCCUGAUGCAGCCAUGCCGCGUGUAUGAAGAAGGCCUUCGGGUUGUAAAGUACUUUCAGCGGGGAGGAAGGGAGUAAAGUUAAUACCUUUGCUCAUUGACGUUACCCGCAGAAGAAGCACCGGCUAACUCCGUGCCAGCAGCCGCGGUAAUACGGAGGGUGCAAGCGUUAAUCGGAAUUACUGGGCGUAAAGCGCACGCAGGCGGUUUGUUAAGUCAGAUGUGAAAUCCCCGGGCUCAACCUGGGAACUGCAUCUGAUACUGGCAAGCUUGAGUCUCGUAGAGGGGGGUAGAAUUCCAGGUGUAGCGGUGAAAUGCGUAGAGAUCUGG
rnacentral:rRNA from 1 species